GGGUCUGGUAGUUCAGUUGGUUAGAAUGCCGCCCUGUCACGGCGGAGGUCGCGGGUUCGAGUCCCGUCAGCCCCGCCA
rnacentral:tRNA from 1 species